UGGAUGGAUGGAUGGAUGGAUGGAUGGAUGGAUUAAAUUGCACCAUAACUGUUCCAUAUACAGUGAGGCACAAAAUUAUCUAAGCAAGUUCAUCUUAACUUCUUCAGAACAUUUACUUGUAGUUUCUGUAUUUGAACAUCUGUCAGUCAUUCCAUUCAGUCACUCCAUUUCUUUAACUGGCGGGUUUGUUUCCCAGAACACGUUUUGGAUGGGUUUAGGAGCCUGCUGUAUCCUGCUGAUUCCCAGCAUCGUCUUUUCCGUCAAACUGGCCAAAUACUACAGACGGAUGGACACAGAGGACGUCUUCGAAGACGCUCCCUAUAAUGACACACUGACUUGGUUCCCUCGGGCCUCGGCUCCACCAAGUGAAUGGUGACCUGCAGGAUGUGUCUUCCCUGUUAGAGUGGACAGGAGAACUGGAACUGAUCAGUUCUGUGAAGGAUCCCUGGGAUUUUUCCAGCAUUUAGAUCACCUGAAGCUUCAGUGAAACAAAAAAAGGGAAUAAAAAUCAACAAUCAGGAAGAGUGUGGUGGGGCUUCCCACCCCCAGCGCUCCUUCAGCUCCUCGUAACAGAACCUCUGAAGGCCGUCGUCUGCAAACUCAUGAAAUCUUCUCUUGGUCGCUCCAGCAACCUUCUAGCUUCUCAUACUGUAGAAAUCUCAGUUCCUGCAUCAUAACAGAGAAUUAAGCCUCAUCUACAUCAGUUUUAUCAUGACAACUGAAGUCAUCAUUUUAUACACUUUCAAAACUUUUGAAAGUUUUAUAUAUUUUUUGUUAAUCUUUGUUUUAUAUAAUGUUAGUCAUGUUUUUUGUAGAUUUAUGGGUUUUUUUCUCUCUGUGGAUAUUUGUAUCAUAGCUUAAAUUAUUUGGGAUGAUUGCGUACAUGUUUAGGGAAAAGUGUAAAACAGCAACGUCAGGGCAAUAUGUUUUGCUCUAUUAUUAAACACAUUAGUGGAUAA